UUCAUCAAGGUGGGUUGCCAUGGUGGGAUGCCAUGGUGGAAUGCCAUGGUGGGUUGCCAUGGUAAUAAGAACAGUUCUAGCUGAGGCAGCAGGAACUAGUGGCUGCUGAUUGCAUUGUAUCAUGGCUUUUGUUUUUGUUUGAUUUCUGACCAUGAGUAGAACGUAAUUAGCUGUCACACAGCCUGGGACCCCAGCUUAUAGAAUGGUGUUUUCCACACUCAGAUGGGUCUUCUCUUCUCUGUUACACCUUUCUGGUAACACCCUUGUAAAUUUGCACAGAUCCAGUUAUGUUACAACAAAGAUUAGCUACCAGGAGAAAGCAUGUGAGGAGGAGGUAACUUUGCACUUCCUGGGCACAAACCUUUCUCUGCAUUCUGUACGUCCCAUAUCCAUGAAGUCACUGUUUCAUGGACUAAAUGGAUGCGUGACAAGUGUUAAGAAGGAUGAGCAGAGAUUAGAAUGAGCAAGGAGGUCAUAGAAGCAAAGAGCAGAAGCCUACCAGCUAGGAAUGAAAGACGGAGCCCAAACACAGUUUUAAAUCAAGACCAUAAAAAUCCUGUCAAACAUGGUGAGAGUGAAGUGUAUUGCUAUCGCUUAAUCAAAAUAAAAUGUGUUACUAUCUUAAUGCCAAAA